AGGGAAAAUGUCAUGGCUGUGCCCAGGUGUUCAUCUGGAAGCAGGGGGGAGGAGAAGGGCACCUGAGGGCACCAGAAUUGAAUGGAAGAACGACAAAGCCACAUUUAUAAACAAAGAUCUCGUUUGUGAGAAGACGAAACCCCGACAGCAGUGAAUGGUUUGCUUUCCACUGUGCUACAGAAACGCCGUUUCCUGCCCCUCCCAUGAAGAGGACGUGCUGCACCGUCCCGGCGCAGGCCGCACACCUACAGACACCGCCGGCACACACUAUCAGCGUGCCCACUGCCGCACAGCCGGCCAGCAGAGGCUGAGGCUCUUACACCUGCUGGGUUCCACAUCCUGCACAUCAGAGGUGGUCAUUGGGCAUGCACUGCAUCUUCUCCUUGUGUCUGGCAAGGAACUGAUUUGUCUGAAGCAGGGAAAUUGAGGCAUGAGGGUGUUUCUGCUGUUUCGAGACCACUUUGACCUGACACUAGGUAGAUGUGGCCCACAUCUUGUCCAACAGGUGCUCAUGCUUUCACCCUCACUGUGGGUCUUCAAGUAUUUAUGAAAGAGCUGUGAAAGUCCUUUCCCGGCCCCUGUGUAACCAUUGGACCAACAUCUCCUUUAAAUCCUGCAGAAAGUGCAGGGAUAGCAGGGCACCUCCACUCCCUUUGCCUUCAGAAAUGUUCAUGGGAGAGGACCGACUCUACAGCUACUUUGCAAGACAAAAGGCUGUGCAAGUCACGAAAGAGUUGCACAGCGGGCAAGAAAAAUAAAACCACUUUCCGCUCCUCAUCUGCAAGCUGUCGCUGCUCAAGAGCGCAGUGCAGAGCUGGUGUGAGGAAAGAGAUGGUUGUUUCAUGUGGUUUCCAGAUAACCGCCGAUAACAUACAGGAUUGCAGCUGACCUUGUGAUACCGUAUCACUACUUUUGUUUUCUUUAAAAGUUCAAGAAACUGUGAUGCCAAAUGGAAAUAAGACUAGUUUUGGAGAAACAAACUGACUGCACCACUGGUGGCAGGGCAAGUGACUAGAAUAUUUUGGCCACUGCUCUCCUCUUGCCUUCCU